rnacentral:rRNA from 1 species
CCUACGGGUGGCAGCAGUGGGGAAUAUUGCACAAUGGGCGCAAGCCUGAUGCAGCCAUGCCGCGUGUGUGAAGAAGGCCUUCGGGUUGUAAAGCACUUUCAGCGGGGAGGAAGGCGGUGAGGUUAAUAACCUCAUCGAUUGACGUUACCCGCAGAAGAAGCACCGGCUAGCUCCGUGCCAGCAGCCGCGGUAAUACGGAGGGUGCAAGCGUUAAUCGGAAUUACUGGGCGUAAAGCGCACGCAGGCGGUCUGUCAAGUCGGAUGUGAAAUCCCCGGGCUCAACCUGGGAACUGCAUUCGAAACUGGCAGGCUAGAGUCUUGUAGAGGGUGGUAGAAUUCCAGGUGUAGCGGUGAAAUGCGUAGAGAUCUGGAGGAAUACCGGUGGCGAAGGCGGCCCCCUGGACAAAGACUGACGCUCAGGUGCGAAAGCGUGGGGAGCAAACAGGAUUAGAUACCCCGGUAGUC